rnacentral:tRNA from 1 species
GUCCAGGGUAGCCUAGUGGACAUGGCAUCUGCCCGGUAAGCGGAACACUGUGGGUUCGAUUCCCAUCCCUGGGCA